GGCAUCGCCGGGCAGGAUCUCCAGCUCGGGUUUUCGGAGAACCUGCUCCAGCAAAAUGACCGCCCGUACUAUCCGGGCGCGUUGCUG
rnacentral:tRNA from 2 species